GCCUCUCUCUCUGGGCGGGGCCGCUCGAAAGGCAGGCUGCUGUUGGAUUGUGACCCGGAACUAAGAAACAGCGUGGGCCAAUCAGAAGCGCCAUGAGGGGUUGGGCCUGCCGCCCUGCAGCGUGUCACGUGGACCUAGAACCAAUUACAGAAUCACUCCCAGGAGGAGUAGGCUCACACCUUAGAGCAGACACCCGGGGCCGCACCGCGUCUCCUUGGUUCACCGAAGAGCGCUCAGACUCACGUUGAUGGGGUCCCGCCUGAGGUUCGUCUUCUGCAUUUCUGCUUCUGCCCCAGACUGGAGUGGCAGCCAGCAUGACCUGACCCACAGGGAUCUGUGGCAGUGCCUGUUGGACCAUGGUGUUCUUUGGGGUGAAAUAGUAAUAAAGAGUAAAUUUCCAACAGCAGUUCACAUUUAUAUGGGAAGGACAGCCAAACAUAUUCGUUGUCUUGCUUCAAGGCUGUUUUGACACUCCUGCUCUCUGUCACAACAUAAUCCAUUGAGACCUUGAUCAUCUGGAUGUUCCACAUAACAUUGAUGACAUCAUGCUAGUUGGACACCAUGAAGAAGAAAGUGACAAGUGCUCUGUCCUUGGUAAGACAAUGCAUGUCAGGGGGUGAGAGAGAAACCCUCAGAAGUUCUGGAGCCUGUCAUCAGUGAAGUUUUCAGGGGUGCAGCAUUGUAGGGCAGAUCAGGGCAUCACCUCUUAGAUAAGGACAAGUUUUGCAUUUGGUAUCCCUAUCACAAAGAAGGAGGCAUAGCGCUUGACGCAUGUUGGGAUUUUGGAGUUAGUGUGUACCACACUUGGGAAUACUGUUCUGACCUAUUUAUUGGGUAACUUGGAAGACUGCUAGUUUUGAGUGGGGCCCAGAGUAAAGGAGGGCUCUGUUGAAGAUCCAUAUUGGAGGGUGAGUUCCCUUGCCACUUAGCAAUGGGUUAGGGUUGGGCUUAUUUGUGGUAGGUAGGGACCCUGCAUGGUACCUUUGGCAGGCUGUAACAGGAGAUUUGCAGUGCACACUCCUAGGAUUCUGAAGCAAGACGAUGCCUACUGCAGUGGAGAACUACUCAGCAAUUGAAAGCAGCUCCUGGUACACUGCUGGACCCAAGUAGAGACUGAGUGCCUGAUUAUGGGGCAUCAAAUGACCAUGUGACCUGAGCCAGAUACUGACAGACCCACCAAACCAAUAGGUUAGGCAGGCUCAGUAGCAACUCAUGGCACAAUGAAAAAGGAUUGGACCCAAGCUUGUAUAGAGGGCACAAGUCGUUUAUAGGAAGAGGUGGCUGUGGCCUCCACAUCUCCUACCUUGUUGCACCGAUGCCUCUUUUUUAGCAGACAGGAAGAAAAAUUCAGGUCUGGUUCAGAGAUGGAUCAGCUUGAUGUGUUGGUAUGAGCUGAAGAUGAACCAUUGCUGCAUUGCAGUCCCUCUCAGGGUGGCUCUAAAUGACAGUAAUGAAGAGAAAUCCUCCAGAGGGCGGAGCUUCGAGCAGUAUGCUUGGAUAUCCACUUUGGAGGGAGGGAGUGGAGUGGACACUGUAGUGGCGUAAGGAAGAGAUGCACAUGAACAUCUGGGUUGUGACAGAUGUCUUGCUAGUUGGUCAGGCACCUGGAAAAAGCAGGAGGGGCAUAUUGGAGACAAGGAGGUCUGGGAAAGAAGAUGGAUCUCUGCGAGUGAUCACAAGGCUGUGAAUCUUUGUGCCUCAUGUUAAUACUCACUGCAGAGGGGUCACUGAGCAACAAAGGGGGCUAGAUAAAGCUCAGCCAGCUUCUGUCCUUUUGUGCUUGUGCAUCAGGCCCAUGACUGGAGUGCCAUCGUGGUAGGACUGCAGUUUAUGCCCACCAACACAGGGUCUCUUAUCAGGGCUUAUCUAAUUAUUAUUGCUGCUGAAUUUCUGACCUGUUAGCAGCCAAGAUUAGUGCUGAGCUCCUGAUAUGGUACCAUCCCUGGAUGAGUUGGCGAUGGGGUGGUUACAGCAGAUCCUUUCCACCCAGGAGGGAGCAUUAAUUCAUCUUACUGGAAUUGACACAUGCUCUGGGUACGGGUUUGCCUUUCUGAUCCACGAUGUCUGAGUGGCAUCACUAUUCAGGAGCUUAGAGAAUGCUCGAUUUACCAACAUGAGUUCAUGUAUAACAUCACUUUGGGCCAAGAAACUCAUUUUACAGUGAAAGAGGUACAAUGGUGUAUGGAUUGCCAAGGGAUCCACUGCUUCUCUAAUAUCCUGCCUUGUCUACAAGCAGUCAGUCUAACUGAAAGAUGUAAUGACCUCUUAAAGACUUAGCUAAGUCCUAGCUCUAGGAUGUAUCUGAGGAGUUGGGGUAUAUAACCUGAAUCAAAGCCCAGUAUAUGGUGCUGUGCCUCCAGUGGACAGAAUAUGUGGAUCCAGGAACAAAGACACAGGUCCAAGAAUCCAGGGGUUGAGAUUAGCUCUCUGUCACCAUCAUUCUCUGUGCUCCACUUGUAUUAUUUGCACAUUGUGUCUCUAUAGCAUUAAGGUCUGCUGGAUUAAAGCCCCUGGUUUCCAGGUAGGGAACACUUCCAUGAGGGGUCUUCCACUGCUUCCAGGGAAGGACACCUCUGCUGAACCUGAAUCUGCGAAUUCCACCCACUUUGAACUCCUCAUGCUGGUGGACCAGCAGGCAGAGAAGGAGGGGAUAAUUGAUCCUGAUUAUUACGAGGAGAUAGGGUUGCUGCUAAUUAAUGGGGCAAUCAGGAUUUGGUCUGGCACUUGGAGGCUUCCCCUGGGUCUGUCUGCUUGCUUCCAUGCCAAGUGACAACAGUGAAAAGGCAUUUUCAGCAGCCACAGCCUGCCAAGGGCAAGGCAGCCAAGGGCUCAGACCCCUCAGGGAUGGAGAUCUGGGUAAGGCCAUCAGGCAAGCCAUGUAAGCUAGCUGUGAUGUUGGCUGAGGAUGAGGGAAGUCUAGGACAGGUGGAGGAGAAGGGAGAUACUAAAUAGCAAUUACAGCCUCAAGAGCAGCUGCAGCAGUGGGGACUGUAUUUGUUUUAACCCUCUUAUAUUAAGUCUUUUGUAAAGGUUGUAACCAGCCUUCACCUCAAAGAAUCAUGACAGAACGGACUUAAUAUGGUGCCCAAGUAGAUCUGAGGGGUGCAAGUGCUGGUGUCUUGACUGAUGCCCUCAUCACACCUUUAAUUGCAGUGGACUUACAGAGCUGCCUCUCUGGCACCUGCUGUGUGUCUCUGCACCAUCUGCCCCAUGGCUUCUCUGAUGCCACAGGAGCCCACUUGGCCUGCUUACCAACACAGCUUAGGUCUCUGGGGGCAACCUCAGGGACUGGAGACAGGAGUCAGUGGAUGAAUAGUUGGACAACCCUAGGAGGCAUCCUGUAUAUUUCUCAGGAGGUCCUGGUGAAGUCAAAGUGCUGUUACCCAGAGUAGUAACCUCAGGAACACACUGCUAUGUUUUGAUACCUCCUAUCCUGUCUCACUGUCCCCCUCUGUCACUUCUGUUUCAUGGGAUCAUAUCCUGAACAAACCACUUAUACCCAAGUCUUUGUCUUAGGCUCUGCUUUCAGAAGAACCCAAAAAAGACACACUAAAAGAAAGGUUAUUUCCAGUUUAUAUCGGCAAAAAAAUGUGGGGGAAUGUGUGUGGGAAUGGAUUAUGAGGCGAGAAAGCCAAGAAUUAACUGUACUUCAAAUUUAUCGACUAGGGUGUGCUCCAAAGGGAUUCUGGACUCAGUGUUUUGGUUAAAGUGCUGGAAAUAGUUGUAACUGUGCUUUCUUGGCUGAAUGAAGCCUGGACUCAUUGGCAUCUUACUCUGAUGAGAAGAUAAGAAUGUACUGGAAUAGACUUGUCAUGUAUAUGACCUGGCCCCAGUCUCUAUAUUUUUCUUGGUUAGUCCGUUAUGUUGAUUUAAAAAAUAUAUUUGAUAGAUUAUGUCUUGAAUUUCUUUUCCAGGAGGUGAAGGGUUGUAAAGUAUUUGAUAUGUGUUGGGUCUGUUGGGGUUGUAAACCCUGAUUGGUCUCAUUUAUGCCCACGACUUCAAUUAGUAUCCAUAUGCUUGUGAUUGGAUAACAACUUGACUAGGUAGAAUAUUCUUGGGUCACUGUCAGUUGCCUAUUGCCACUGUAACAAAUUACCACAAGCUUGGUAACUUAAAACAACAAAUUUAUUCUCUCUCAGUCCUGGAGACCAGAAGUUCAAAAUCAGUAUCACUGGGCCAAAAUCAAGGUGUGGGCUGCAUUCUCUCUGGAGACUCGAAGGGAGAAUCCAUUCCUGGCCUCCUCCAGAUUCUGAUGGCUGCACCCAUUCCUUGGUGUGUGGCUGCAUCACUCCAGUCUCUGCCUCCAUGGUCAAUAUUGCUUCCUCUUCUGUCUGUGUAAUCUCCUUCUGCCUCUCUUGUAAGCACACUUGUGAUCACAUUUUGGGCCAACCUGGAUAAUCCAGGAUAAUCUCCUCAUCUCAAAAUCCUUAAUUUAAUCACCUCUGCAAAGAUCCUUUUUCCAAACAAGGUAGCAUCUACAGGUUCCAGGUGUUAGUACUUGGAUAUCUUUUGGGGGGACCAUUUUUCAGCCUACCACAGUCACUGUUGCUUUCCCUCACAGCUUUCAGUUCAUCAUGCCACUGUGUCCUAGUCCUUGAAUAUUGCAGUUGAAAAGUUCUGAGUCCAGCCUGAUUUUUCUGCCUGAAUCCUUGAAGAAGUAUGGUAAUUUGUUUAUUCAUUUAAAAUGAUGAUAAAUCCAUGGAGCAACAAAAGACCCCAAAUAGCCAAAGGAUUCCUGAGGAAAAAGAACAAAGCUGGAGGUAUCACACUCCCUGAU